AUACGGAGGACGCGAGCGUUAUCCGGAUUCAUUGGGUUUAAAGGGUGCGCAGGCGGCCAUUUAAGUCAGCGGUUAAAUCGUGGGGCUCAACCCCAUUCUGCCGUUGAUACUGGGUGGCUUGAUUGCGGUCGAGGUUGGCGGAAUUCGUUGUGUAGCGGUGAAAUGCAUAGAUAUGACGAAGAACACCGAUUGCGUAGGCAGCUGACCAGACCGCAAAUGACGCUCAUGCACGAAAGUGCGGGGAUCGAACAGGAUUAGAUACCCUGGUAGUCCGCACAGUAAACGAUGAAUACUUGUUUUCGGCGAUAUAAUGUCGGAGGCAAAGCGAAAGCGAUAAGUAUUCCACCUGGGGAGUACGCCGGCAACGGUGAAACUCAAAUGAAUUGACGGGG
rnacentral:rRNA from 1 species